GACGAACGCUGGCGGCGUGCUUAACACAUGCAAGUCGAGCGGUAAGGCCCUUUCGGGGGUACGACGAGCGGCGAACGGGUGAGUAACACGUGGGUGACCUGCCCUCAGCUCUGGGAUAAGCCUGGGAAACCGGGUCUAAUACUGGAUAUGACUCCAUGACGCAUGUUGUGGGGUGGAAAGCCUUGUGCGGCUGAGGAUGGGCCCGCGGCCUAUCAGCUUGUUGGGUGGGGUGAGGCCUACCAAGGCGACGACGGGUAGCCGGCCUGAGAGGGCGACCGGCCACACUGGGACUGAGACACGGCCCAGACUCCUACGGGAGGCAGCAGUGGGGAAUCUUGCGCAAUGGGCGAAAGCCUGACGCAGCGACGCCGCGUGAGGGAUGACGGCCUCGGUUGGUAAC
rnacentral:rRNA from 1 species